CAUAGCAACACUUAUUAUAGCUCUGCCUUUACUCCAAUCAAUUAAUCAGGGAUCUCCUUUUAAUCCAAUUAAUUAAUCCAAUCCAAUUAAUCAGUCAUCUCCAUUGCACUAUUCAUUUCAACGAAUGUCCACUCUUAUUCUGAUGCCCAGCCCCAAUCCCACACUCUCCAAGAGUCCAGUCCAACCACUAUGACAUCAGAAAUGCCUCCAAGUUUUGCAUUCCAUCCAGCCCCUGGGGCUUUACAAACUGAACUUGAACCACAAUGCUACAGUGAUUCUAAGACAUGAGGUUGAAUGCUGAAGGUUGUAUGCAGCCCAACGCCCUGCAGCAAGACACCCAAACACCAAACACCCACCUGCGCUCAGUAGCUGAAACCUGUAUUCGCUCUGUGGAUUUAACAGUCCACAGCAACAGCGAAAAAGUUUGCUUAAACCACCUCAGAGCAACACUAGUAAGUACAGCAGCAGAUUGAAGAAGGGCAGCAGCAUGGUGGUGAGAAAUCUGAAAAUAAACAUAAAGAUGCUGGAAAGGAUUACAGAGGAGAACUGAAUGAUCUCCAAGACUAAAGAUGGAAGUAACCAAGCAAGACAUAAGAGCCUUCCAAGGAAGAUUCUGACAACCAGCUGCCAAGUUACUGGAUGGCACCCUUCAGGAUUCGAGACCAAGCAAAAAGGAUUUUUUUAAUGGACUCCACUCCUCAUGGGUUCUCGACUCCAGCUUUUUUUCUCUCUUCAGUACUAGGAGCUGCCAGAAGCCCUGAUCUGUCUGAGAACCUCCUCUUUUAAGAUUGAAAGAUGGCCAUAAUUUAUCUACUGUAUUCCACAAUCAGUUUUACAGCAAGUACUGUAUUCUAUCUCCAAAACAUAUCUGUAACUCAUGACUAUUCUCAGCCUUCAAUGCCACCAGUACCUCCUAACUGCAUGACCUCAAU